GAUGAACGCUGGCGGCGUGCCUAAUACAUGCAAGUCGAGCGAACAGACGAGGAGCUUGCUCCUCUGACGUUAGCGGCGGACGGGUGAGUAACACGUGGAUAACCUACCUAUAAGACUGGGAUAACUUCGGGAAACCGGAGCUAAUACCGGAUAAUAUAUUGAACCGCAUGGUUCAAUAGUGAAAGACGGUUUUGCUGUCACUUAUAGAUGGAUCCGCGCCGCAUUAGCUAGUUGGUAAGGUAACGGCUUACCAAGGCGACGAUGCGUAGCCGACCUGAGAGGGUGAUCGGCCACACUGGAACUGAGACACGGUCCAGACUCCUACGGGAGGCAGCAGUAGGGAAUCUUCCGCAAUGGGCGAAAGCCUGACGGAGCAACGCCGCGUGAGUGAUGAAGGUCUUCGGAUCGUAAAACUCUGUUAUUAGGGAAGAACAAAUGUGUAAGUAACUAUGCACGUCUUGACGGUACCCUAUCAGAAAGCCACGGCUAACUACGUG
rnacentral:rRNA from 1 species